AGCUACGUCAAGUACCAUGAGGGAAAGAUGAAAAGGACUUUGAAAAGAGAGUUAAAAGUGCCUGAACUCGCUGAAAGGAAAGCGGAUGGAACCAGUCGUGCUUGGCGAGAUUGUUGNGUGCAAAGGUGACUGCUCACUGCUCGUAGCGUAAGCGCAGCAGCGGGUUUCGAUCUGGUCGCGCGCGAUGCUUCUUGCCUUGUUCGUCAUCGUUGGUUUGGAGGCGCGGACAACUCUUGGGACAUGGUAACUCGCCCACGGGCGAGCGAAUGUGCCUUGCAGAACUCACCUCCAAACUGAUGUCUCUUGUUAGGUUCUGUUGCCGUAGUACGGCGACGUACGUUUGUACGAAACGAACGUCGGUGGUACACGAAGUAGGUUCGGUUACUUACGUACCCGGUACCCGUUUCGUUAACGAAAACCGGACCCGGAAACCGGAAAGGGUACGUUAACCUAAACUAAUUAGUUGGUCGAACGUAAACGUUUACGGGUUGGGGUCGGGAAACCCGUAAACCUUAGUUGGUCGGCCGAACUAGUAAAGGUAAGGUAGGUAGGUCGUCGUAGGAAGUAGUCGUUCGUUCGACUACUACGACGACGACCGG
rnacentral:rRNA from 1 species